UGGGGAAUUUUGGACAAUGGGGGAAACCCUGAUCCAGCCAUCCCGCGUGUGCGAUGAAGGCCUUCGGGUUGUAAAGCACUUUUGGCAGGAAAGAAACGUCAUGGGUUAAUACCCCGUGAAACUGACGGUACCUGCAGAAUGAGCACCGGCUAACUACGUGCCAGCAGCCGCGGUAAUACGUAGGGUGCAAGCGUUAAUCGGAAUUACUGGGCGUAAAGCGUGCGCAGGCGGUUCGGAAAGAAAGAUGUGAAAUCCCAGAGCUCAACUUUGGAACUGCAUUUUUAACUACCGGGCUAGAGUGUGUCAGAGGGAGGUGGAAUUCCGCGUGUAGCAGUGAAAUGCGUAGAUAUGCGGAGGAACACCGAUGGCGAAGGCAGCCUCCUGGGAUAACACUGACGCUCAUGCACGAAAGCGUGGGGAGCAAACAGG
rnacentral:rRNA from 1 species